CCUACGGGAGGCAGCAGUGGGGAAUAUUGCACAAUGGGGGAAACCCUGAUGCAGCGACGCCGCGUGAGUGAAGAAGUAUUUCGGUAUGUAAAGCUCUUUCUGCAGGGAAGAAAAUGACGGUACCUGUUUAAGAAGCCCCGGCUAACUACGUGCCAGCAGCCGCGGUAAUACGGAGGGGGCAAGCGUUAUCCGGAUUAACUGGGUGUAAGGGGAGCGUAGACGGCAGCACAAGUCUGGAGGGAAAUGCCGGGGCUUAACCCCGGAACUGCUUUGGAAACUGUGCAGCUAGAGUGCAGGAGAGGUAAGUGGAAUUCCUAGUGUAGCGGUGAAAUCCGUAGAUAUCUGGAGGAACAUCGGUGGCGAAGGCGGCCACCUGGACCGGUAUUGACGCUGAGGCGCGAAAGCGUGGGGAGCAAACAGGAUUAGAUACCCUGGUAGUC
rnacentral:rRNA from 1 species